rnacentral:rRNA from 1 species
UACGUAGGUGGCAAGCGUUGUCCGGAUUUACUGGGCGUAAAGGGCGUGCAGGCGGUUUGUCUAGUCUAGGGUGAAAGCUCCCGGCUUAACUGGGAGAGGUCCUUGGAUUACUGGCAAACUUGAGGGAGGCAGAGGAAAGUGGAAUUCCCGGUGUAGUGGUGAUAUGCGUAGAUAUCGGGAGGAACACCAGUGGCGAAGGCGGCUUUCUGGGCCUUACCUGACGCUGAGA